GAGUUUGAUCUUGGCUCAGGAUGAACGCUGGCGGCGUGCCUAAUACAUGCAAGUCGAGCGAACAGACGAGGAGCUUGCUCCUCUGACGUUAGCGGCGGACGGGUGAGUAACACGUGGAUAACCUACCUAUAAGACUGGGAUAACUUCGGGAAACCGGAGCUAAUACCGGAUAAUAUAUUGAACCGCAUGGUUCAAUAGUGAAAGACGGUUUUGCUGUCACUUAUAGAUGGAUCCGCGCCGCAUUAGCUAGUUGGUAAGGUAACGGCUUACCAAGGCAACGAUGCGUAGCCGACCUGAGAGGGUGAUCGGCCACACUGGAACUGAGACACGGUCCAGACUCCUACGGGAGGCAGCAGUAGGGAAUCUUCCGCAAUGGGCGAAAGCCUGACGGAGCAACGCCGCGUGAGUGAUGAAGGUCUUCGGAUCGUAAAACUCUGUUAUUAGGGAAGGAACAAAUGUGUAAGUAACUAUAGCACGUCUUGACGGUACCUAAUCAGAAGCCACGGCUAACUACGU
rnacentral:rRNA from 1 species